GCUGUGCCGCUGAGCUAAAUCCCCAGCCCCAAGUUACAAGCGUUUCUAUGCCUACUUCCAGGUGUCAUCAUCUGAUGUCUCACUGAUGCUCAUUUGGGCGUCUGCAUCCCCAGAUUCUUUUCCUCCAAGGGGAGAAGAGGCUCAAACUGUGGCUCUGCAAAAAGCCACUCUUUGCAAAGCUGUUUUUUCUCAGCUGCUCUGUCUUCCUGUGGAACUCUGAGCUCAUCCUCUGUGAGGAGAAGGCAGUUAUCAUUUUCAGGAGAUUUCUGCCACCCCGUUGGACUCAAUAACCUGUGCUCUGCUUCCAGAGAAUAUGAGAGGACCGCCUCUUCUUCCACAACGGGUAGAGAGAGUGACCAUUCCGAAGGCAGCCUUAGUCCCCAUUUUCCUUUGUUUAGGGUGUGCUGUGUUCUCCAGAUCCUCCAGCUCGUCACAGUCGCUGUUCUCUGAGAAGUCUCCGCUCUGGUCAUCCGUCAGCGUCUUCAGGACCUCACUCUUUCUGUCGGUGGUUGGACAGGUCAACUUGGCUAGACGAGAGGCUUUUCCUGAAAGGCACAGCCCUUGGGGAGUCGAAGCUGCCGUUCCAGCAUCGAUGGUUCCCGUGCCACCUCCACUGCGCUGGCUCGCGCCAUCGUGACCCCAGGAAGAGCUGUGCCAACCAGAUAAGUUCCCCGUGACUCCCGCAAAUGUUCCCUCAGAGACACCAGAGUCCACAGAAUCCUGGUGGAACAGGAAGGGGUGGUGCCAGGAAUCUCCUGUAGUUCGUACAUGUCCAUUGUUUAAAAAGCCGUCAGAGGAACUGUGUCACCCAUGGCUUACUGCAAAUCUACCUUCUCUUCCGUGUUUUUCAAAAGUGGCUGUAGGUGUCUUAGCUGACUAUGUCGCUGAGAAAUUUAGCUAAGCAGGGCAAAGUCAUGCUGUGCUAUUUAGGUCCGUGGUCUCUUUUCAGCAUGGUGAGGCAUCCAACCUCAUGGCCAGGAUCCCAGAAUGUGGUCCUGUUUUCCGAACUCCUUGAGGUUACCAGCUGGAUCUCCCGAGAGGUUUUCUUGUUUUUUUUUUUUUGUUUUUUUUUUUUUGGGGGGGUUUUGGUUUUUCUCCGGUACUGGGAACGGAACUCACGACCUUGCGCUUGCCAGGCAGGCGCUUUGCCACUGAGCUAAAUCCCCAACCCUGGGUUUUCUUUUUAAAAGGGAGCUUAAAUAGCUUGGCCAGCAGCACCCCUUGUGACGAAGCACAGAGAAGCCAGGCUAUGCGUGGCUCACUUUCUUAGUCCCCUCAGCUGCUCAUCCUCAACACCUAAUUCCAGACACUUUUCCAAAAGGGGGGAGGGGGAGGGGAACAUAAAAAGUAUUUGUUACAUUUAAAAAGAAGGGUAAGAAAGAAAAGCUAUGUCUAUGUUUACCUCAUUCAAUUUUUUUUCUUUUUUUUUUUUUUUUUUUUUUUUUUUUUUUUUUUUU
rnacentral:lncRNA from 1 species